rnacentral:rRNA from 1 species
CCCUUAGAUGUUCUGGGCCGCACGCGCGCUACGCCGAUGCAUUCAACGAGUUUCUUCCUGGUCCGAGAGGAAUGGGUAACCUUUUGAAAGUGCAUCGUGAUAGGGAUAGACUAUUGCAAUUAUUGGUCUUCAACGAGGAAUUCCUAGUAGACGUAGUUCAUCAGACUGCAUCGAUUACGUCCCUGCCCUUUGUACACACCGCCCGUCGCUCCUACCGAUUGAAUGCUCAGGUGAGCCAUUCGGACUUUCAUCAUGCUGGUUUCCAGUUUUGAUGAAGGAAAGUCUUGCGAACCUUAUCAUUUAGAGGAAGGAGAAGUCGUAACA